GUAAGAUAUUAUAAAGUAAUAUCUCAUUGUAUAAUGAGAUAUUACUUUAUUACUUAAGUAAAAUGUCUGAGUACUUCUUCAACCACUGAUAUACAUACAAUGAUAUGGUUAAAAUUUACUUUUAAGAGCAAAACUUUAAAGUUCUUAUUUUGCAGUGAUAGUUGUGAAUCUUGUGUGAUUUCCAACCCUGCAGACUAUAAAACAGGCCUGAGAGUCAGAGGUGAAUAUUGUGAGGUUCUCUUGACUGCUGCAGCUCACUUAAUUAAUGGCCCAUCAGAGGGAGGGGCCGCCCCCCCGCUCUCUGCCAUACACACUGCAGAGAGCAGGUGACCUGCAGGUGACCUGCUCUCACAGGCAGCUGCCCUUCCCCCCACCUGCAGCGUGCAGUUGAAUCUCAGAGCUGAACGAGAAGAUACAGCAGAAGCUACCUUUUAAAAGAUUGGAGCGACUCAACUAAAGAAAAGACUACUUUUAAACUGUUUCUGUGCAGGUCCAGAAGUUGAUGGCUGUGAGAAAAACACAGUUGGACUGUGUCUUUGAGGAGUCAGGAAGUGAUUCCUCUGGGUCUGAAUUAUGCAGCCACAC